rnacentral:snRNA from 1 species
AUUCAUACCUUAUAGGGGGAAUACCAUGUUGUCAAAAUGGUUUUUUUAGGGAGAGGCUCAUCCAUUGUACCUUGGGUGUGCUGUUAACUCCUAUGAUUUCUCCAAAUGUGGGAAACUCAACUACUGUAUAUAA